rnacentral:rRNA from 1 species
CCUACGGGAGGCAGCAGUGGGGAAUUUUGCGCAAUGGGGGAAACCCUGACGCAGCAACGCCGCGUGAGUGAUGAAGGCUCUUGGGUCGUAAAGCUCUGACAGAGGGAAAGAAAUGUGGGUGGCUAAUAUCCAUACCACUUGACGGUACUCUCAAAGGAAGCACCGGCUAACUCCGUGCCAGCAGCCGCGGUAAU